rnacentral:rRNA from 1 species
AAAUUGAAGAGUUUGAUCAUGGCUCAGAUUGAACGCUGGCGGCAGGCCUAACACAUGCAAGUCGAACGGUAACAGGAAUC